GUCUAUUGGGCUCUGUCAGGAGGGCAUCAGACUCUUAAUCUCAGGGUCGUGAGUUCGAGCCCCACAUUGGGCA